AGAACAGGGCUUCUCAAUUUCCUAUUCUUGGGAGAAUAAACCUAAAAAGAUUCUUUUACAUAUAUACGUAGUUCCCUUUCAGAGCUUGAUUCAAAAUCAAGAAUUUGUGAUUGCUUGUUGUUGCUCUCUCUCUCCCGCGUUUGGUCAUUGCUGCCCCCCGGGCACAAGUGGUGUUUGCCGUUCUGCUCCUUGCCAGGGGUAGCCACAGGUGCAGGACUCGGCAGCCUUUGGGCCGCCCCCUUCCCUGGUCCCAUUUCUCUAUUGCCUCCGUGGUGUUUUGGGGCGGGGGUUUGAGUCCAGGUGUGGAGGAGAAGAAAACAAAAUUCCAUUCUUAGGAUCAGAUGGAUAUUCGCCAGGGUGUGGCCGCUGCCAAGGCCAGAAGCCUGUGCCCCGUCGGCCUAGGCAGAAGGCAGGCUGCUGCUGUUUGCAGGAGAUCUGGUUAAAACCCUCUCCCCUAAAAAACAAAUUAGACGAGAUCAUUCAUAAAAUAUGCUUGUUUCAUCCUGUAAGGACAUGGUUUACUCCGUCCUCCAACUGAGUGGGUGUACUCAGGGGAAAGUGAAGCUUCCAAAUUAUCAUUGAAAACAGUGAAAUCAUCUUUUUAAAGAGGAUGCACUAAAAAUCCUGUCGCUUGGCUUCGAAGUGGUAUGAGGCACUCACAUCGCUGUCGGCCCUUUUCUUCUUCCUUGAAUUAUGACCAAGAGGAAUUUUUUUCCGCAGAAAGAUUUGUCUCCGGUCUGAUGUAAGUAAGAAAUUUCUCAUCGCCUACGUGCCCUGGGAGCCCAGGCCUCUCAACGGGCUUGAAGGACGUGGCCGAGGCUGAGCCGAGCUGGCAGGGCUGCCCUGGCACUGUAUCUGAUCUCUGUGCCGUGGACUUGGAGCCGAGGCCCCGGGAGGGAUGUCGCUGAUGAGUUACGGUCCAUGUUUGCAUCCCUUCUGCAAGGUGUCCUUUCUUUCCUGAUCAGAAGUUGCCCGACUGAGGCCAGUAUUGAAUGGCACUCACGCCGUAGGGUUUUCUCUAGGAUGUGAUCUCCCGUCUCUCUUUGUACCCAGAUAAUAGUAGGUUAGAGAAAAAGGAAGAAGGCGGCAAAUCAGAGUGUUUCAAAAAUGAUGACACCAGAACAGAUUCCGAUUCCCCCCCUCAAGACAAAGCUGAACUUGCAAACUCUUCAGCACAUGCUCCACUGGGACGGUUUUGAUCUCCGACUGCAUGGAUUUGGACUUGAGUCGGCUGCUAGGUGAUGACUCUGUGACUUUACGCAAGUCACCCAGCUGCUCGGUGCCUCAGUGUCUGCAUCUGUGAGAUGGAGAUCUCAAGAAAGCUGUCCAUUUCUUCUAGGUUGUCAAAUUUGUUGGCACACUGUUGUUCAGAGUAUUCUCUUAUGGUGUUUUGUAUUUCUGCGGUGUCCGUUUGAUUUCUCUUUUUUCAUUUCUUAUUUUGUUUGAGUUUUUUCUCUCCUCUUCUUGGUGAGUCUGGCCAGAGGUUUGUCAAUUUAGUUUAUCUUUUCAAAGAACUAACUCUUGGUUUUAUUGAUUUUUUUCUAUGGUUUUAUGACUCUAUUUUAUUGGUUUCCUCUCUGAUCUUUAUGAUUUCCUUCCUUCUGCUGACUUUAGGUCUUAUUUGCUCCUUUUUUCUAAUUCAUUUAGGUGGUGGGUUAAGUUGUCGAUUGGAGAUUUUUCUUCUUUUUGGAGGAAGGUCUGUAUCACUAUGAAUUUCCCUCUAAGCACAGCUUUUGUGGCAUCCCAUAGAUUUUGAGUGGUUGUAUCUUCAUUAUCAUUUGUCUCAAGGUAUAUUUUAAUUUCCUUUUUGAUUUCCUCACUGACCCAUUGGGGUUUUUUUUAGUGGCAUGUUGUUUUGUCUACAUGUAGUUAGUUUUUUCUCAUUUCUUUCUUGUGGUUGAUGUCUAGUUUCAUGCCACUGUGGUCAGAGAAGAUACUCGAAAGAAUUUCUAUACUUUUAAAUGUGUUGAGGUUAGUUUUGGGCCCAGUAUGUGAUCGAUCCUUGAGAAUGUCCCAUGUGCACUUGAGAAGAAUGUAUUCUGAUUUUUUGGGGUGUCAUGCCCUGAAAAUGUCAACUAAGCCUACCUUUUCUACUGUGUCAUUUAGGAUCUGUUUUGGCAUAUUGAUUUUCUGUCUAGAGGGUCUGUCCACUGAUGCGAGUGGGGUGUGAAAGUCUCCUACUAUGACUGUGUUCCCAUCAAUUUCUCCUUUUAUGUCUGUUCAUAUUUGUUGGAGGUAUCAGGGUGCUCGUAUAUGAGGGGCAUAUAUAUUGACGAUUCUAAUGUCCUCUUCUUGAAUGGAUCCCUUUAUCAUUCAAUAUGCCCUUCUUUAUCUUUCUUUAUGGCCGUCAUUUUAAAGUCUAUUUUGUCUGAUACAAGUAUUACACCUCCUGUCUUGUCCAUUGGCGUGAAAUAUCUUUUCCCACCCCCUUAUUUUCAAUCUCUUUGCCCUAAGGUGCCCUAAGGUGAGUCUCUUGUAGACAGCACAUUGUAGGCUUUUGCUUUUUUUGUCCAAUCUGCUGUGUGUCUUUUGAUUGGAGCAUUUAGUCCAUUGACAUGUAAACAUGGCUUGAGGGCCCUUCUCACAUCACCCUGCUCCUUUGACCCAUCUGCGGCCAGCUGGCCUCAGUGCUGCCCAGACCCUGAGGGUCACGGUGCUCACAAGUCCUGAACCCGACUCACUGGAGAGUCGGAGGAAAGUCCUCUUGUCUCAGAUCUUCCUCAGGACGGUCCCCUGUUCCUGUUCUGCUUCCUGGCUCACAAGGGGACCUGGGCCGAGGGAGUCACCACCUUCCCAAGGGGUUGGUUCUAACCUCAGGUGGUGCCCUGAGCUGGGUCGGGCUCCUGCUGUGUGUGGUACCGAGUCCCGGCAUUGUGCCUGGGGAAGACUGGACAGACCCCAGGGCGUCUGGGCCAGAGGACACCAGUCAGAGGAGCUUCCAGGCCCGUGAUCCACCUCCCAGCCCCAGGCGUGACCGGGCUGGGCCUGCCCAGCAGGGUGGGGCCUUUGCUUCCCUCUGGAGGUGGGUGCUGCAGGGGGCGGGGACCAGAGUGGACCCAGGCCAAUGCAUCUGAGGGACACCGUGUCUGCUGUAGCCCCCCCCGCCCCCAAAGCCAUGCCCCCAGUGCCGCUGCAGGCCUUUUCUGGAGCCCUGCCAGGAAGGGGGCUCACUGUGGCUACCGCCUACGGAAGACCCGCUGGCAUGGUGCCAGGUGCCGGCUCCUUCACAGGGACUGCGUCUCCGCGGCCUCAUCAGGAGGCUGUGGCGUGGGGCCUCUGUGAUUCCUGCAGAAGGAUGGGGUGGGGCUGUGUGGGGUUGACAGCAGGGUGACCACCCGUUCAUGAGUCACCGGGCCAGGGUCACCCACUGCCUCAGAGCCCCAGCCCCAACCGUCUACACUACCCCUCCUCCCAGGGAUGCAGGGACAUGGAGUUUGGUGCCUGUGCAGACACACAAAGUGAAGUAAGAGUUUUAACUGAGGGACCCCCCCCCACCACCUCCAGCCCUGAAAAUUGACUGCCAGCCUUUUCAGCUAUGCUGGCCUCACACCAUCCUUCUUGUAAUUGUGUAGCAACUACGUGCCCUAUGUCCAAGCCAGCAGCCCUGCUGACCGCGCUCCAAGCAUUGCCUAUCAGCUUCGCUUCCGUCACCUUAAUGCUCAGUUUCUUAGGCAGGAGCACUGUCUGCUCGGGGAAGGGCGAGGUCCGGGCUGCUCACACGGAAAACCAAGAGCCUGUAAUGUAUAAACGUUGCAGAGAACAAAGGCCUGGUGCUCAGACUCUGGAGGUGGCUCCUCUGAGCCCGCACCAGUGCGGAAUAAACCUCACUCUCCCGCAUCUCCGAGGGCCCUUUGUCUCCUUCCGCUGCCAUGGUUUCUGCAGUUUCUGCAACAACAGAACCCACCUUAGAGAGGACAAGGUCUGGCUGCUCCCAGGACUGAGAACUGAGAGCGGCUCAAGCCCAAGACUGGCCACUAGGGGGCGCCCACACACGCUCUACAAAGGCUUUGACAACUGAAGGCUCAGGGGACCCCCAGCCCAGUGACAGCAAACUAGAGCUAGUGACCUGAACCUCAGCAGGUUGGUUACCUGCCGAGACAAAGAUGACAAUAUUCUCCAUGGAAUUUCAAUGAGACCCAGAGUUUCCUGACUUUAUCGUGAAUGUAGCUGGAAUAGAAUUCUAAAUGACUUGGCGUUCAAAGAACCAAGAUCUCGAUUUGCGUGGGUGGAAAAAGAAAAUCCAGACUUGCUAACACAGAUGAUCCCGAUGUGGGAACGAGCUCGCACCACAGCAGCUCCAAUUAUGAAGAUGCUCCAGUGACCCAUCGCAACUACUUUAGAAGCCAAUGGAAAAGUGAAAACAUCCUCCAUAAAUGAAUGGCAGGUAUAAGAAGGGAACACGUGGACAUUUUAAAGGUGAAAAAUGCAGGAACCCAAAUACUCUCUCAGGAGCAGAAUAGAGAAGGUGAAGGAAAAGCCACUGAGCUGAAGAUGCAUCGAUAGAAAUGAUCCCCCCUGAAUAAUAGAGAAAAGGAUAGAAAAGCAUGAACGUAGCCUCGGAGACCUGUGGGAUGAUAACAGAAGACCUAAGACAGGUGUCACUGGACUCCCAGAAGGAGAAGAGAGUGGGUGCCCUGCUGAGACGUAUUGGGGGAAAUAAUGGCUAAAGUCUCUGAAUUUGGUGAAGGGCAUAAACCUACUAAUUCAGUCCCAAACAGCAGGAGCUACAAUUCACACACACAGAGCAAAGCAACUCUGUCCCAAUGAAACGGCUGAAUGGAAGGCAAAGAACAAAUACUGAAACCAGCCAAAGGAAAAAUGUAUUACCUACAAGGACACAACCUUUCAAGUGACUGCAGAUUUCUCAUUAGCAUCCGUUUAUCUCUGUGACGGAGACAAGAGAUCAGCAGGAGAGGAAAUAACUGAUGUUUAGCAUCAGAUGUUAGUGGGAUCGAACUGACACAUCACAUUCCAUCCCACGACUGCAGAACACACGUUGUUUUCAAGUAUACACGGAACAUUCCCUGACACAGACCAUAUCCCGAGUCAGAUCAGAUUUCAAAGAAUUGAAAUCAUACAGAAUACAUUAUCUGACCAAAGUGGAUUUAAACUAGAAGUCCGUAGAAGAAAGAUCGUAGAAAAAUCACCCCACACUUGAAAAUUACACGGAACACUUACAAAUAAUCCAUGGAUCAAAGAGGAAAGUCCUUGAACUAAAUGGAAAUGACAAUACAGGAUAUAAAAAUGUGUGCGACGCAGAUAAAGAAGUGCUGAGAAGGAAAUGUAUAGCAUUGGAUGCUCAUUUUAGAAAAGAAGAAAGGCUAAAAUCAAUAAUCUAAGCUUCCACCUUAAGAAAUAGUAAUUAGACCUGUUUAAACCCAACAGCAGCAAAAGGAAGGAAAUAACGACGGCAGGACUAGAAAUCAGUGAAAUCAACCCCAAAACCAAUACAGAAAAUGAAACCCAGAGUUGGGUCUUUGAAAAAAAAGCAGUGGAAUUGUCAGGGAGUUCCCCUUGGGGCACAGUGGAAAUGAAUCCAACUAGUGUCCAUGAGGAUGCAAGUUUGAUCCUUGGCCUCUCUCAGUGGGUUGGGGAUCCAGCAUUGCUGUGAGCUGUGGUGUAGGCUGGCAGCUGUAGCUCCAAUUAGACCCCCUAGCCUGGCAACCUCCAUAUGCUGCAGGUGCAGCCCUAAAAAGCAAAACAAAACAAAACAAAAGCAGUUUAGGUUUAUAAAAAAUUGAGAAGCUAGUGCAGUUUCCAUACACUCCAUGGCUAUAGUUUCCCUAGUAUUGUCUGGCGUUCCUGUGGUAUAUUUGCUACAAUUAAUGAACCAUCGCUGACGCAUUAUUAGCCAAAGUCCAUCAUGUACUGGGAUGACCUAGCUUUUCACCUAAUGUCUUCUUUCCUGUCCCAGAGCCCCGUCCACGCUACCUUUGGUGUCUUGUCUUCUCGGAUUUCUCAGAGAGUCUUGGUUCUGAGGACCGUGGUGGAUUGAAGCACACGGCUCAGGGGUCCUGCGGGAUGCCCUCUGGUGGAACCUGCUCGGUUGACUCCUCAGGACUGGACUGGAGUCAUGGGCUUGGGGAGGAAGAUCAGAGGGCAAGUGCCCUCUCGUCGCAUCGAGGGUACUUUAUGACUCACCCCAUCAACAUGCUUCCUAACUACUGAUGUUGGACUUGAUCGGACCCUCUGGCUGAAGCCCUUGUAUUCCCUUUUCCCCUUUCCAGGCUGUAGGAUUGGGAGAGAAGUCGCUUUGUGGAGCCCACACUUGCAGAGGGGGGGUGAUGCUGCCCUCCUCUAGACUGGAAUAUCUGCCUAAUUUACUUGGAAUUCUUCUGCAAGGAGGUUUAUUUCUUCUCCAUUUAUUUCAUUAUUCCAUUAGUUGUGCUUUUAAAAUUAUCAUGGACUUCCCAUUGUGGCUCAGUGGUAUGGAACCUGACGAGUAUCCACGAGGACUCGGGUUCGACCCCUGGCCUCGCUCUGUGGGUUAAAGAUCCAGCAUUGCCGUGAGUUGUGGAGUACGUCACAGAUGUGACUCGGAUCUGGUGUGGCUGUGGUGCAGGCCAGCGGCUGCAGCUCCAAUUCAACCCCUGGCCUGGAAGCUUCCAUAUGCCACGGGUGCUGCCCUAAAAAGACAAAAAACGAGAAAAAAAUGUGUUUUGUUCACCAUAUCUGCUCCGCUUUGGCCUCUGGGAACCCUUUUAGAAACCAGGAACUGGCCACUAGGUGUUGCCUGGUGAUACAGCGUGACUUCUUUCGGGCUCCUCAGCUGGCAGGCUGGAGACGCGGGUGUGUGCCCAACAACCCCGUGUGUGCAGAGAUCCCUAAGUGUGUCUGUGUGGAGCCACCCGUGUCUGCACUAAGUCCUCACGUCUUCAGGGUAUGUCUACCCAAAAAUCUGAACGUAGGUGUUUAUAGCAGCUUUAUACAAAAUUGCCAAGACCUGGAAGCCGCCCAGAUGUGCACAUUCACGCGAUGGGAUAUUGUUCAGCAGUGAGAAGAAAUGAGCUGUCACGUCACAGAGACACACGGGGGGACCGUCCCUUCGCUCCACGCCCUCUCCCGUAUGUGUUAUUUGUAGACUUAUUAAUAAUGUCUUUUCUGACUGCUGCAAAAUGGUACCUCAUUGUAGUUUUGAUUUGCAUUUCUCUAAUAAAUUUUUUUUUGUCUUUUGUCUUUUUUUUAGGGCCACACCCACAGCCUAUGGAGAUUCCCUGGCUAGGGGUCUGAUUGGAGCUACAGCUGCCAGCUUACACCACAGCCACAGCAAUGCCAGAUCCGAGCCACAUCUGCAAUCUACACCACAGCUCAGGGCAACACCGCAUCCUUAACCCACUGAGUAAGGGCAGGGAUCGAACCCGCAACCUCAUGGCUCCUAGUCGGGUUCGUUUCCGCUGAGCCACAAUGGGAACUCCUUUUUUUUCUGAUCUUUUUUUUUUUUUUUUGGCAUUUCUCUAAUAAUUUGUAUGUUGAGCAUCUUUUCACGUACCUAGGGGCCAUCCCUAUGUCUUCUUUGGAAAAAUGUCUAUUGAGGUCUUCUGCCCAUUCUUUCAUUGGGUUGUCUGGUUUUUUGAUGUUGAGUUACAUGGGUUGUUUAUUUGUUUUGGAGAUUAAGCCCUUGUUGGUUACGUCAUUUGCAAAUAUUUUCCCUCAUUUGGUUGUCUUUUCAUUUUGUUUAUGGUUUCCUAUGCUGUGCAAAAGCUUUUAAAUUUAAGGCCUGUUUCUUUGUUAUUUGUUUAUUUUUGUAUUUAUUUCUCUUGCCUUAGGAAACUGACCUAAUAAAACAUUUGUGUGAUUUA
rnacentral:lncRNA from 1 species